rfam:Ictidomys tridecemlineatus contig077841, whole genome shotgun sequence.
AUAUGAGAGACUUAAAAAUAUUUUUCAUCUGAAGUCAUCCACUGGCAGAUUGGUAGUGGUGAACCUAUGGUUUUCUGAAG